AACGCGAAGAACCUUACCAGGGCUUGACAUGCAUCUGCAAGCCGGUGAAAGCCGGUCGCUUUCGAAGGUGAUGCACAGGUGGUGCAUGGCUGUCGUCAGCUCGUGUUGUGAAAUGUUGGGUUAAGUCCCGCAACGAGCGCAACCCUCAUGUUCUGUUGCCAGCGAGUAAAGUCGGGAACUCGGAACAAACUGCCUCUGUAAAGAGGAGGAAGGUGGGGAUGACGUCAAGUCAUCAUGCCCCUUACGCCCUGGGCUGCACAUAUGCUACAAUGGCUACUACAAUGGGUUGCAAACCCGCGAGGGCAAGCUAAUCUCAAAAAAGUAGUCUCAGUUCGGAUUGGAGUCUGCAACUCGACUCCAUGAAGCUGGAAUCGCUAGUAACCGCAGGUCAGCAUUACUGCGGUGAAUACGUUCCCGGGCCUUGUACACACCGUAGUAC
rnacentral:rRNA from 1 species